GUGGGGAAUAUUGCGCAAUGGGCGAAAGCCUGACGCAGCGACGCCGCGUGAGGGAUGAAGGUUUUCGGAUCGUAAACCUCUGUCAGAAGGGAAGAAACUACAUUGUGCUAAUCAGCAGUGUACUGACGGUACCUUCAAAGGAAGCACCGGCUAACUCCGUGCCAGCAGCCGCGGUAAUAUGGAGGGUGCAAGCGUUAAUCGGAAUUACUGGGCGUAAAGCGCACGUAGGCUGUAGUGUAAGUCAGGGGUGAAAUCCCACGGGUCAACCGUGGAACUGCCUUUGAUACUGCACAACUUGAAUCCGGGAGAGGGUGGCGGAAUUCCAGGUGUAGGAGUGAAAUCCGUAGAUAUCUGGAGGAACAUCAGUGGCGAAGGCGGCCACCUGGACCGGUAUUGACGCUGAGGUGCGAAAGCGUGGGGAGCAAACAGGAUUAGAUACCCGAGUAGUCC
rnacentral:rRNA from 1 species